GCAGUCGAGCGGAACGACACUAACAAUCCUUCGGGUGCGUUAAUGGGCGUCGAGCGGCGGACGGGUGAGUAAUGCCUAGGAAAUUGCCUUGAUGUGGGGGAUAACCAUUGGAAACGAUGGCUAAUACCGCAUAAUGCCUACGGGCCAAAGAGGGGGACCUUCGGGCCUCUCGCGUCAAGAUAUGCCUAGGUGGGAUUAGCUAGUUGGUGAGGUAAUGGCUCACCAAGGCGACGAUCCCUAGCUGGUCUGAGAGGAUGAUCAGCCACACUGGAACUGAGACACGGUCCAGACUCCUACGGGAGGCAGCAGUGGGGAAUAUUGCACAAUGGGCGAAAGCCUGAUGCAGCCAUGCCGCGUGUAUGAAGAAGGCCUUCGGGUUGUAAAGUACUUUCAGUUGUGAGGAAGGGGGUAGUGUUAAUAGCGCUAUCUCUUGACGUUAGCAACAGAAGAAGCACCGGCUAACUCCGUGCCAGCAGCCGCGGUAAUACGGAGGGUGCGAGCGUUAAUCGGAAUUACUGGGCGUAAAGCGCAUGCAGGUGGUUCAUUAAGUCAGAUGUGAAAGCCCGGGGCUCAACCUCGGAACUGCAUUUGAAACUGGUGAACUAGAGUACUGUAGAGGGGGGUAGAAUUUCAGGUGUAGCGGUGAAAUGCGUAGAGAUCUGAAGGAAUA
rnacentral:rRNA from 1 species